UACGUAGGGAGCAAGCGUUGUUCGGAUUUACUGGGCGUAAAGGGCGCGUAGGCGGCAAUUCAAGUCACUUGUGAAAUCUCCGGGCUUAACUCGGAACGGUCAAGUGAUACUGCUUUGCUAGAGUGCGGAAGGGGCAAUCGGAAUUCUCGGUGCAGCGGUGAAAUGCGUAGAUAUCGAGAGGAACACCUGAGGUGAAGACGGGUUGCUGGGCCGACACUGACGCUGACAGCGCGAAAGCCAGGGGAGCAAACGGG
rnacentral:rRNA from 1 species